rnacentral:rRNA from 1 species
CCUACGGGCGGCAGCAGUAGGGAAUCUUUCACAAUGGGCGAAAGCCUGAUGGAGCAACGCCGCGUGCAGGAUGAAGGCCUUCGGGUUGUAAACUGCUUUUAUAAGCGAGAAAUAUGAUGGUAACUUAUGAAUAAGGAUCGGCUAACUACGUGCCAGCAGCCGCGGUCAUACGUAGGAUCCGAGCAUUAUCCGGAGUGACUGGGUGUAAAGAGUUGCGUAGGUGGCAUAAUAAGUAGCUAGUGAAAUCUGGUGGCUCAACCAUUCAGACUAUUAGCUAAACUGUUAAGCUCGAGACCGUUAGGGGUAACUGGAAUUUCUAGUGUAGCGGUGAAAUGCGUAGAGAUUAGGAAGAACACCAGUGGCGAAGGCGAUUCUCUGGACUGUAACUGACGCUGAGGCUCGAAAGCGUGGGGAGCAAACAGGAUUAGAUACCCGAGUAGUC